rnacentral:lncRNA from 1 species
GAGGAAAUGAUGCUUGAAUCAGAAUUGAAAGAUCUACUAUGCUUUAUUAUCCAUAUCUACAUAUCCUUGUGGCUGGUACUCCAGCCUUCCUGACCAUAAUGGUUUCUAACUGUUCCAGUAUCAUUUAUUAUAUUAAUUUAAG